UACGAAGGGGGCUAGCGUUGUUCGGAAUCACUGGGCGUAAAGGGCGCGUAGGCGGCCGAUCAAGUCGGGGGUGAAAGCCUGUGGCUUAACCACAGAAUGGCCUUCGAUACUGUUUGGCUUGAGACCGGAAGAGGUUAGUGGAACUGCGAGUGUAGAGGUGAAAUUUGUAGAUAUUCGCAAGAACACCAGUGGCGAAGGCGGCUGACUGGUCCGGUCCUGACGCUGAGGCGCGAAAGCGUGGGGAGCAAACAGG
rnacentral:rRNA from 1 species